rnacentral:misc_RNA from 1 species
AAGUCGUAACAAGGUAACCGUAGGUGAACCUGCGGUUGGAUCAUUAUUGAAUCAACGGUCUUGGAGUCCUCUUCGGAGUUGAUUCCUCGACCUUACCUACCCCAUGUGCAUUGUAAUUGUUUUUUGGGACUUGUUGUAAAAGGCGAGUCCCAGCAGUAUAAACUCUAUUUAAUUUGUCUGAAUUGAAACCAAAGAAUCGUAACAACUUUUGACAACGGAUCUCUUGGCUCUC